UGGGGCGUAGCCAAGUGCGAAGGGAAGGGCUUUUGGUCCUGGUAGUCGAAGGUUCGAUCCCUUCCGUCCCAG
rnacentral:tRNA from 1 species